GUGAGAGUUGAGAGGCCGAUGCAGACGGUUGCUGCAAGAGAACGAGGAGCAGAUGGAUCGAUCAGUCAUGGAUCUCAUGGCGACGGUGCACCCUAUCUGUGCGGCGGCGGGUGAUGUCGCCACUGCCACAUGUCCUUGGUAGCCUUAACCGCGCCAGUGGUGGAGCCGGCGAGCCGGCGACUUUGGGUCAUGUCGCCACUGUCACGUCUAUAACAGCGCGAAAGGCAGUGUUGGGUCGGUAAGGCAAGAACUCAGCCGUGCCAGGAGUAUACCUCAGCCACGCUUUUCUAGGGACGCAAAGGGUGAAGAUAAGUUUUUCUUUUCUUACUUAAUUCUUAAUUUCUGAUUUGAUGUUGCUAUUUGGGGUUAUUGUCAAUUAUCCCUGCAGUGAGUCGUGUUCAAAGAAAUCCUCACAUUCAUUGGAACUGGUGAUCAGAGAUCGAAAGAACCCGUACGUGUCAAUCGUGACCAUCAGUCAAUGUCACAUCGCAAUUAUCAUGUAGCCCAAAGGAGAGCCACAUAAUUGACCAUGAGGCCUGUACUACCAUCCUGUCGAAUGCAACGCACAAGUGUAAAACGCAAGAGAUGAACCCUAAAACAAUGGACGUUCGCGACCCUCUGUUCCGAUUGCGCUGCCUAACCUUGGCCUCAGAUUGCAUCGGCGGCUGCGCUAGGUUUGCACGGACGAGGCGUACAAUGCGUCCGUGGUCCGUUCGGUCGCACGGACGAGAGCGGCGCGGCCGGAUGGGGCAUGGAUGCGAGCGGCACAGCCAGAUGGGGCGUGGCGGCCAAUAGCCAUGAAGUUCAAUCGCGAACGAUGAUUGAUUGAGAGCCUAUAAAAUCCCAACCUUGCCCCUAUUGGGCUCAUUUUCGCAAACCAAUCUCCAGUACAAAAGUGAUGGGUGAUGCUCAGGUUCCAACUCUGUUUGGUUUCAAGCUGAUCUAAUGGCUAACGGAGAGGUUAUUUAGAAAGUGAAAAAUGCGGAAAAGAAGCCACGAUUAAUGCCAGUCGAUGCUUCGGGCAGGUUUCACACGUUGACAGAUUUCAGGCUGGUUCUGCUGGGUUAGAAGUUGUACUCGAUAUGAAACUACUUGGAUGGACCAGCAUACAAGAAUUUCUAAGAAAGUCAUAGCAGCGCUCCUCUCAUGCUUUGGAGAAAGUGAACCGUAUGAUCUUCAUGUUAUUUGUGUCAACCAUAAUGUGUCUGGCCCAUGGCCCUGUGUACUGCACCGAUGCUGACAAACCCAUUUUCAUAUUCCAUCACAUUCAUGUUAAUUUUCUGACAAGACCAAGGGAUGGAAAUCCAAAACUCCUAAAUAUACUCAUGAGAUGCAAAUCACGUGGAUCAACCUUGUGAAGGAACACCAACAACACAAUCGAUUUCACAUGAGGCUGCAAAAAUUGUAAUUUAUGGGGAAGUUGUGGUGCAGCCAACCAAAGGCGUGGAUGUUGCCAGCGGCCACAAGGAUAUCUAAUUAUGUCAUUUUUGUUGGCAUAAUCUGGUUGCUGCAGCCAGUGAACUAUGGGAGACUUUGAGCACUCGAAAGCAACUAACCAAAUUUAAGAUUCACAAACAAUGAAGAUUUCGUUGGUGCACUAUAUAUGUAUACUGGUAUAUGUUUAUUUCAUAUUUGUGUUGUUGCUUAUUAUCGGUCUUGAAGAUACAGAUUAGAUAUAUUUACCAAGUGGACACUUAUACCAAAGCCCAUGUGUACAUAUGAUAUUUCUCUC